rnacentral:rRNA from 1 species
UGCUCCUACGGGGGGCAGCAGUGGGGAAUAUUGCGCAAUGGACGAAAGUCUGACGCAGCGACGCCGCGUGAGGGAUGAAGGUUUUCGGAUCGUAAACCUCUGUCAGGAGGGAAGAAAGCGCAUGGCGCCAAUCAGCCAUGCGUUGACGGUACCUCCAAAGGAAGCGCCGGCUAACUCCGUGCCAGCAGCCGCGGUAAUACGGAGGGCGCGAGCGUUAAUCGGAAUCACUGGGCGUAAAGCGUGCGUAGGCUGUUUCGUAAGUCGUGUGUGAAAGGCGCGGGCUCAACCCGCGGACGGCACAUGAU